AUCCAGCUAACGAGUCCCAAAUAGGACGAAAUUCGAGUUAUCCUGGAU
rnacentral:hammerhead_ribozyme from 1 species